ensembl:lncRNA
UGCUGUUUCUGCAGUUAUUUUUGAGAACUAUUCUGUAUUUCUAGGAGUGUGCUUGAAUCAGAAGAGCUGAAAUAUGGCAUUGGCAGCAUGUAGAUUUUGAUUCACUCCUCUCACUGGCGAAGUCCGCCUCUCCCUAUGCAAUGCUGAAGGAAUAUAUUCGUGCUCAUGAUGUCCCUAUUUAUCACUACAUUUGCAAACAUGACCCAGGAAGUCAGACUCCAUUAUAGCAUCAAUCACCAGUCCAAGGGGAAAUUAACCAAAAAGAGGGUUUUUCUUCCAACAGCGAGCAAGCAAACAACAACAAAAUACCAUCUUGACAAGAUACUAAAAGUUUAUAGUUUCAAAAAGGGACUGGAGAAAUGCACAGAAAUGCAUUCCUUGGAAGCUGUGGUAUUCACCUCCCACUCCAGAAGUUCUUGAACUUGAAACGACUGAAGGUUGGGAAAGCUGGUUUUCUGAAGCUGGGAAAACGUCAUGAUACGUUUACCUUGUUGUUAUAUUCCUCUACAGAAACAGGAUCCCAGCUGAGCGUAACUCCUGUAUUGCCCUCAAAACGAUUACAGGAUUUCAACCAAGGAGCAAAUACAAAUUCUAAGCCCAAUUCUUUGUCAGCUCUCUUCAUCAUUCAGUGAGCUCCAGGGAUUUUACUGGGACUGCUCCCUGCCUGAAAUCUAGUCCUGACUCAAAAGGACGUGGUCCCUCCCUGUUGAAUUCACUGGUGACUCUCACCUGUGCUGGAAGUUACUGCCUACCCUAUGCAACUGCUGCUGCUCCCACUACACAACUCUGUAAUGAGUGAUGUAUAAAAUGAUCCAACUAAAAGAGCAAUUAUAGAGUAAAUGUAAAAAGGGAAUCAAGGUGGGAAAUCAUUAAAUGACCUGCUGCCCAAGGAAUUGUAAUGUGGUAUUGCGGUCAGUGCUAGAUCCCUGAUUACAACAAUAAGGUUGACUUGAUCCCAUAGUAGGCUUAAGCCUUUCUUCUGUCUUCAGUGGUCUUCGCAGUUUCUCUGGUCUAGUAGAUGGAAGAGCAGCUGACCAAGCUCAAGAUUUCUCUCUUUAGUCAUUCCAGGAAUUUUGGGGACUUUUUUCCAUGUCGGUUUCUUUUUUUCCUCCCCUCUUUGAAGGGUGUAGGUAUUUAAAAACAAAACAAAACAAACAAAAAAAAACUUUGCAGGAUAAGGACUCAAUCUAAAGCACAAGAGAACUGUACUUGAAGGGACCCAACUUAGACAGAAAAUAUGAGGUGUGGGUGUCCUAAAUUACCUUUCCAGUAACUGUUUUAUUAUGGACAUAUUGCCUUUUAUUCAUUCAGUCCUUGUAAGUACUCCUGGCCCAUUAUUUUAAAGUAUCCAGGAGGAAAAUAGGUUUUAACUUGAUUUUCCAUACAUUACUGUCUUUCUCCUGCCAUAGCCUUGAAUCAAACACAGCUAACUAGUUUAUAUUGUGAGGCAAUGUUCUGGGAGAGAGCAGGCAGCUGACCAAAACAUUGGCCAAACAGUGUGCUGAGAAGUAUAGCAUCUUUGCCUUGACACCCUGAGCAAUUUCCAGUUCGCUACCUAGACACCUAGAAGUUAGAUGACUCUCUAGUACAGCUGUCUACAAGUUGAAUGUUUAACCGGGCUUUGGUGAUCUU